rnacentral:rRNA from 1 species
AUGGAUGCCAUUCACACUAGGACACAAUGUACAACCCCAGAAUCUAUUUGCGGAAGCAGUGCACCAUCCAUGUUACCAGAUGGUAGCAGUUUAGAGGCAACACUGCCAGAGAGCAUUCUGAGCGCAGAUAUUAUAGUGCUUGAGGCUCUACUAGAGGUAGAAAGAGAUGGUGUGGCUGCCAUGAAUGAGGUAAUCUUUAUCUUGAGGCUGGAAAUUACGGAAUUAGCGGCACGCAUUAUGCAAGCAACCCAAGAAUUGGAGGAAGUAAGAAUGUUGCAUUUGAAGAUGGAGGAGGUCCUGCUAUUUCUGCUAUCUGAAGCCCAAGGUAAUCCCGAUUCUUCUUUAGAUACCAGUUGA